UGCCAGACAUCGCUGUGAUUUUUAGCUGCUAAUCAAGAGGAAGAAGCGGGGAGAGAGAAAGUGGUGCAAAGAGCUGCAGAGCCCCAGCAAGGGGGGACCCUGGAUGGUCACUGCUGCGGGGUCACAGCGAGGGAUGUCUAAGCCACCACUGGAAUCCCAUCAGGAGCUGCUUUUCCAGCAGUUUAUGCUCAACCCAAAAACCCAUAGGAAGAGGGAUGCUAAAACAACACGAGCUGUGCCAUGUCUAGUCCUUGGCUCUCAGUGUUGGCUAUGGGAGAGGAGAAACCAACAUUCCUGGCAAGCAGUGAAUGAUCCAGAAAAGUGCAGAGCUCGCCCAUGGCACCCUUCCGUAGUCCAGUCCUUCUCCAGCAGACAAGGAGGUGCACUGCCAAGAGGCCCUUGGCAGGAAGCAGGAGAUGGAACCCAGUGACUCCAGUGGGACCCAGUGCCGGAGGGUCCCUGCUGUGGUGCUGGGCUGGGUGGCUGCUUUCCUGCACUUGGAUCUAAGCAGCUCCUUGGAUAUUUACUCAAUUGCCAGGAAUGAGAGGGAGGAGGUGGAUGACAACAUGUUUCCAGUGCUCUGCUUUGUGCAGAGAUCCUCAAGGCAGCAUGUGUGUGUCUGCAGAGGGCUCAGCAUGCUUCUCAGUGCUGCUUCCAAACAAGGAUCAAGUAAAUUUUCCAAAGCAUA